UUUGAGGGCCACCUUCUCAGAAAGCUCCCCAGCAAGUUCCCACAGCCAGCAAGCUGUGCCUCCCCUGGCCUUGUUCCACUUGCCAUGGCUAAAAAUACCCCAGAUCCCGGGGUAGCCCUGGGGACAGGGGCCCAGAGUACCUGGCGUUAUUAAAGGAGCAGCCAGGGUCAGCUGGCCUCCUGGGCCCUCCAUGUCCUGUCUUCUCGGUGAGGUGUCCUGGGCUCCCUGCCCCUGUAUCCCCACAAGGACCACUCUGUGUCCUGGCUGGAGCUGGGGCUUCUACAGAUGUCAGAACAGCCUCUCACCUACAAAACAGAAGCUCCAAUUCCUCUUACAAAACUACAGUUAGCAGCAAGACUAAAACAGAGUGUCCCCUUCCUGGCCAUGGCCCAGUGGUUUUAAUUCAAGUGGCUUCUUGUGUGACUCCCUGCUCAGCCUGGACCUGCAGCCUCUUUGAGGGUCUGAAGAAGGGAUGGGUCCAGGAAAAGUAGUGAACCGCGUGCACCAUGUACAGAAAGCUCUUGUAGUGGUGCACACCUGUCAGCCCAGCACUCGUGAAGCUGAGGCAGAAUGAUUGCUGUGAGUUUCCAGGCCAGCCUAGACUACAUAAUUCAAGGCCAGCCCAGGCUACAUAGUAAAACCCUGUCUCAAAAGAAAAAUAAAUAUAGAGAUGUAUAGACAGAGCAGGGAGUAGAGAGGGGAGGUAUGGAAGGGGUGGGUCUUUGUAGGAUGAAUUUGAUUUCCUCACAGAGGAAAUGCAAAGUCAGAGAUGUGCAUUCACAGCAGAACGCGCAGGGGCACCUGAGGACUUUCAGGGGACUCGAAGGGCUGGCAUCCUCUCGCCAUGUAACAACCUAGCCCACAGGCAGGGCCCUGAGUCCUCCUGUGCAGGAUCACAGUGUCGAAGGGUCAGGAUCAGGGUCCGGGCCGGGCUGGUUCUCCAUGCUGAGCAAGGGCAAGUGGUGCUGUGACCCACCUAAGCAUGGUGGGGAGCAGCCUGCUUUGAGAUCACCAGGGGCUCCUUUCUGUGCCCCAGCUUCUCCCUGGCCGAGACAGAGGCUACCCCACCCCCAGCUCCUGGGGACCACGGCCCUUUGCACCCUCUCUGUGGCAGUGAAAAUUGAGUCUCCUAGGACUUCCUCGGGUGUUGCUUCUUACGGGAAACAGGUUUGACCCAUGCUUUAGCACAGAGGGUGACGCAGGUGACCUCAGUGCCACCCUGGCAUCCGGCUCCCCUUGCAAUAGCAGGAAAGGAGUGGCCUGAGAAAGCCCUGGGGCACUACAGCCAGGAGCUUGAACUUUGUCCUCUGGGGGCAGGAAGUCACCAAACGGGGACAAGUGGGAAGGGCCAGGUGGGGCAGAGGAGGACCCAGCCUCACCUUUGGUCUCCAUUCAAAGGUCACCUGGGCUCUUGCUCUACACCCGGCACAAAAUGGCCACCCAUCCUCACACUGCAUGGUGCAAGGUGCAGCCAACUGUGUUACAGCGCGGGCUGCCCUGUGCUUUGUGUGUUCUUGGGUUGUCAACAACCGACUUUCCUCCUCUGCAGCACUCAAGGACCGUCCAGUACUCCUGCACCUCCGGAACAGUGCCCAGGCAGAGGCCUGGGACCUCCUCCCAGGUGACCUGCAGACCUGGGUCCCCACCUUGGCCAGUUGAGGGGCCAAGGACAUCUAGCUGGGAAGCUCUGGAGCCAGACUGCCUUGCUGAGCCAGACUGGAUCCUGACCCGCAGAGCCCUGGUGGAUACAGAUGACCAUCAUCAUCUUGGUCCUGCAUUGGUUCUGCAGGAUGCACUGUCAUGGUGCUGCAAUGCUGACACUCUGGUGGUGAAGUCCCAGGGGCAGUAACCAGUCCAGAACACUGCUUUCUGGAUCCCCUACUGUUCUGGAUCCCCUACUGUUCUGGAUCCCCUACUGGAUCCCCUACUGACUGCCUCUCUCACUGGAGGUGGGAGAAACCCCUAAUUCCAGCACUCUGGGAGGCUGACGCAGGAGGAUGGCAAGUUCAAGUUCAGCUUGAGCUACUUAACAAUGCAGCAAGACAUUGUCUCAAAUUAGAACUGAGAGAUUUAGUUAUGUGGCAUAAGCGCCUGCCUGGCAAGUGCUAGGUCAUGAGUUCGAUCCCCGGUACCGAAAAAAAAAAAAAAGAAAAAGAAAAUGGAAAUUAGAACUGAAAAGGACUGCAGUAUAGCUCAUUGCAGAGGCCCUCGUUCAAUCCCUGGUACUGAAGAAAAAAAAACCUGCAUCCAGGCAUGGUGAUUCCAGCUGUCAACCCAGUGCUCAAGAAGCUGAAUCAGGAGGAUUACCUCAAGUUCAAGGCAACCCUGGACUACACAGUGAGUUAAAGGACAACUUGAACUGCAUAGUGAGACCCUGUCUCAAAACAAAACCAAACCACAGAAGGGUGUUUAAAAUGAGACAAAGUUCUCCAAAUUAUGUUCUUCUUACAAACUCCUGUACCACACUGAAGCCUUGAGCUCCUUUUCACACGUGCUGCUGCCCAGCCUCCCCUGCCCCGGGUUCUAGCCCUGGCUUUGUCCCCCGGGCACUGAAUGGCCCCGAUGCCACCCCCUGAGGCCCACUCAGCUCCCUCUCCAGACCAGAGGCUGUGCUGAGCAGCCAAUGAACCCAAAAGGGCGCACACCUCAUCCUGUGCUCUCUGUCCUGGGUGGGCUCAGCCCCAGAUUCAGCCCCUGCCCAGCCCCAGGCCACUACAGUGGAGCCAGAGUGUGGAGGGCCAGUCCAUAGCUCGUGCUCCUGUAACCCAACACCUUAGGCACCUUCCUUUUAUAGUUUAAAAAAUCAAUAACCUACGCCCUGCAGCUGAGAAAGCUGAGGCAGGAGGACCUCAAAUGCAAGGUCAGCCCAGGCAAUUUAGGAAGACUUUGUCUCAAAAUAAAAAUAAAGACCCUGGAUUCAACUCCCAGUACCACAAAUAUGUUAAUUAAUUUAAUUAAAUAAAAUCAGUAAGCUAUCAGCCCGGCCCUGGGCUUGUGAAAGCAGCCUCAGUUUCACGAAGACCUCAACAGGUGUUGGGGUGCUCCAGGGUGAGCCUAGUCCUGGUCCUGGUCCUGGUCCCCUUCUCCAGCUCACAGAGGUUGCCCCAGAAUUGCCAUGGACAUCGCUGUACCCCAGUCAGGACCUUGAUUCUCCCCAGCCCAUGAGGAGUCUGUGCAAACAUUCCUGGGUCUCCUCGGGAUGGGGAUGUCGACUCAGGCUCUGCCAGAAAGGAGGUGCGGGGCUGAGACCUCGCAGAGGGACGUCCCGCAAACAACUGCUGUGUUCCCACAGACACCUCAGGGGAGACGAGCUCGAUGCUACCUCUUGGAGGGAGGGAAAGGCGGUCAGUGCCUUCUGGAUCCUGUCUGGCCAUCAAGGAUGUGACCGGCAGUUGGUGACAUCGAAGCUGACCAGGUUGGAGAUCAGGCAGCUGUGUGGUCCACCAGCUUCCGCCUGCAGCCCCAGCACAGGGCAGGGCGUAGCAGGUCCUCUGCUGUUUGGGGAUCAGACACCGACGCUUUGGGGACAAAGGGCUCAGCUGCAACUCGCUUCCAGGUCAUUUAGAAAAUCUAAGUAUUUAUGCACAAUGAGAAACGCAGCCAUGAGGCAAACGGAGUACGUGAACCUUCGGGGACUCGGGGCGAAAGGUGAAAGCAGUGCUUUGUUCCCGCCCUGACCUUCUGCUGAGAGGCCCUGUGACCGUGGUCCUGUUUUGUGACGCUGACACAGCCACGUCCUCGCUGGCUCUGGCCAGGGCCCCACCCUGGUGUCCCUGACCUCAGGCCGUGUCCUCCCCCAGGGGCCCCUGAGCAGGGAGCUGUGCCCAGAACGUGGCUCUGCCUGGGCAUCUCCAGGAGCCUGGGGCCAUGGGCAGGGCUUCUCGCAGGUGGCUGGGUAGAGGUUGUGAUGCUAGGAUUAAGGGGCGAGUGCUACACCACCACCCCAAGAGUGGGAGCCUGGAUAAGAUACCAGGGCCAGAAGGAGGGCUCUUUGUUGCUUACUGCUGCUGCUGAUCUUCUGGCUGCCACGCCCCCCUGCCUGCCACCCUUGUUUGGAGCCGGACAACCACCGACUGACCCCUCGGCAAAGGUGAGCCAGAAUGGACCUCUCCGCCUUUAGCUUUGAGGGUCAGGUAUUUUGUCUCAGCAAUGAGGAAAAUAACAAGAUGGUGGCUGGCCCUAAGGAAUGUGCCACCUCACAUCUCCCCCAGCAGGGAUAGCAGGAUAAUGUGUAUCCCUGGCUCAGAAAACAGAAUGAGGGUAGAAGAUAUAGCUCAGGGGCACAGCGCCCACAGGCAAGCAUGAGAUGAGGUCAUGAGUUCGAUCCCAGGUGCCAAGGGGAAAAGAAAAAGAAAGGAAAAGUGUUCCCAAGCCAGCGUGCCCGACACAGGGACCAUGGCUGGGCCACAGAGCGUUCCCACCACGGCAGAGUUCAGGAGCGCAGCGCUGCACAGAAAUUGCACUUUCAAACUCAAUGUUAGAAAAUGAAAGGAAGAGGGGCUGGGGAUUUAGCUCAGCGGCAUAAGCACCUGCCUUGCAAGCAGGUGGUCGUGAGUUCGAUCCCUGGUACUGAUAAAAAGUGAAAAAAAAAAAAAGACACAAAAAAAAAAAAAAGAAAAUGAAAGGAAGAAAAAUGGAAGGAAGGAAGGAAAAGAGGGAGAAAGAGAGAGAGACAGAAAAUAAAA